rnacentral:lncRNA from 1 species
GCGCCGUAGGACCUCUGUUGACGUUCAUUUUUUUUAUCCGACACUUUUCCCCGAAGGGACUCAGUGUUAGGAUAAGAGCCUCAAUUCACACAGUAGAAAUGAGGUUAAGUACCUCGCGCAAAGGGGGGGUGUGGUGGUGCAGUGGGUUGAACCAGGUCCUGCUCUCCAGGGGGUCUGGGGUUUGAGUCCCGCUCGGGGUGCCUUGCAAUGGACUGGCGUCCCGUCCUGGGUGCGUCCCCUCCCCCUCCAGCCUUUCGCCCUGUGUUGCCGGGUUAGGCUCUAGCUUUCCACGACCCUGUACGGGACAAGCGGUUCAGACUGCGUGUGUGUAUGCCUUGCUCAAGGGUACUACAGUAGGAGGUGGGAUUCAAACCCAGGACCUUUGAGUGUAAGACAGCAGCUCGAACCGCUACACCGCCUCUUCAAGACCAGGGUGACGUGUUUCGGGAAAAUAAGUGCGCCGGCAGCACUGCGGUGACGUGCGCGGCUUUUGGUUUUGCGCCGAGUCGCGUCCCUCACCCAGGCGGCUGUGUGCGCAGCUGUUCCCGGUGACGACCGUUUUUUGGGUCAUUAAAACAUCAAUUGCCGUUAUCAGGAAGGAUCUGUGAUGGCUGUGGGAGUGGUGUAUUAUUUCAUUUUAACAGCGUUCCAGCAGAAAGAACCCCCUCCCCACCUGCCAAAUCACUCUCUCUCUUACACACACACACACACACACAGAGAGAGAGAGAUAAAAAUUUGGACAAACUGCUGUUUUCAAGUGAAGAGAGGUGGCAGGGGGGCAGUUUUGAAACUUUUCAACUCUCCUUUGAUUUGUGUUACACACCAGAGCUAAUAUUGACACCCAGCUGGCGAGGCCUCGAGGUCGCCGGCGGUCCUCGGUGUUUCGGAGGGUAUCGUGUUCUGUUGUGAGAGCUCAGAAGCGCGGAGGGAUGCCGUCGAGAGGCGGCGUCAGCACGCCGCCGCGGGGCCGUGUCCAACGGUGGGCGAGUUGCUCUGCUGGGGAGCGGCGGUCAAGGACGUCCAAGCGCUCCCCCGACUCACCGGGCCCCUUUGACGUGUCUUACCGGGAAGAAAUGAGCCAGCGGAUGAUGGGGUGGAAGGACUCUUCUCGUGAGUCCAAGAUCCCUACCGGCAGGUGGCAGUCUGCAGCGUCUCCUUUUUCGUCUUCGGUAGGACGCAACGGGACGGGGUAGGUCCUUUUUCAAUACCUGCAGGGAAAUUCCAUGUUGAGGAGCUGAGAGCCCCUUCACUUGAGUUAUGGAUGCAGAUGGCUGCUGGUUAGCAAGACCCCCAAAUGCGCCUUUUGUGCACCGUAAAGGAACCAGCUGGUGACUCAAUCAGAUCAUGGAGAUCACAUCUUAGAGUCGAUGUGAGCCAUUGUCCAUAGUAGACGAACUUCCUACUCAUCCUGGCCUUUACCACUACCUGUAGAGUGUACGUCGUUUCUGUGUCCUUUUACCCUAUCUUUAUUUCCAGACAAGGAGGAGGACGUGAAGGGUUUUUUGAUUCUUCUUCUUCCAACUCUGUAAUCCAUAUAUUCUUAUUUGCUGCUAUCCUUCCAGAACAUUUCCGAUCAACCGCAUGUUCUCUGCGUAUCACUGUGCCGUGUAGCGUCUCACGCACACGCGCGCACUCGCGGACAUGAGACUGACAUGGGCUUGGCUAAGCAGCAUGUGAACCGCUCAGCUAUUCUGGAUUCUGCCAGGCUUUGUACCUCCUGACCAUCUCACCGCUGGGCUUUGGCCUACCGAUGACCCCGCUCUCUUCUGGACGAUUGCUCAACGAUUCCCAGCAACAGGUGGUCCCGUCUCAGUGCCGCGGAGCGACAGACACAUUGCUGGCAUUGCUGCUCUGUGUCUCAUUCUGAUACCAUUGUACUCAGCAGCUCUUCUCCUUUCAAGCAAUACUUUGAAACGGAACAUUUUGAGUUUUUGUUUCAGUGCUGGGCCAGAACGUGGGAGAAGAUUUCUCACGGUCACGCCACCGUCUGAGGUCAGACACGAGCGCCGUCAAGGCCGGUGCGGCUCUUCUCUCUUCGGCGCGGAGGGGCUGUCACGCCUGUCCUUGGCCGGUGGAUUCCAGUCCUCCCGUUUCCCCCCCGGGCCGGACGGGUCCUCCUCGGCUGUUCCCAGCGGUCCGGCAGCCUCUCGUUGAAGACAGCAGGUUGAUUCGAGUAGCGGGCUCUCAAAACAG